CUACGUUCUGAUGCAAUAGAUGCACACAUACGUAACUGCAAUGAGAAAGGAUCUAAGAUCGAGUAUCAAGAUCAAGACGUAAAAUAUUUCUGAGGAAUACGCGAUCCUGGCUCCCAAAAGCAUAUCCUGAAGAAAUAUCCUGAAGAAAAUGUAUCCCCAUCUUCCCUGUUAUCCUUCUCCCACCCCCGCGGCGUAUGCGCUUUCGAACGGCAAGCAUCCCCCGUAACAGGGCCGCAUGCAGGGAGUCGAAUUUUCGUCGCGACACCGAGCCGAUCAACUGCGUCAGACCGACGACGAGCAUCACCGAGCCUUGAUCCUUCCGACACGCUCGUCAAUGUCCUGUCACUCGUCAAGAGAGUGGCGCCAGAAGCAUUCGCGCCACCAGGAAGCUAUAACUCAGGAACGCUCUCGCUCUCUCCGCCGCGCACCUGACUUCCGGGAACCGCGAUAGGACUCUCUGGAGUAGGAGGGUGUUCCAGGAGCGCCAGGAUAACAGGACGUCGCGGUGCGAUUUGCGCGCGCCU